CGUAACUGACGCUAAUGCUCGAAGGUGCGGGUAUCGAACAGGAUUAGAUACCCUGGUAGUCCGCACGGUAAACGAUGGAUGCCCGCUGUUGGCGAUACAGUGUCAGCGGCCAAGCGAAAGCGUUAAGCAUCCCACCUGGGGAGUACGCCGGCAACGGUGAAACUCAAAGGAAUUGACGGGGGCCCGCACAAGCGGAGGAACAUGUGGUUUAAUUCGAUGAUACGCGAGGAACCUUACCCGGGCUUGAACUGCAGCAGACGGAUUCAGAGAUGAUGACUCCCUUCGGGGCUGCUGUGGAGGUGCUGCAUGGUUGUCGUCAGCUCGUGCCGUGAGGUGUCGGCUUAAGUGCCAUAACGAGCGCAACCCCUUUCGUCAGUUGCCAUCAGGUGAAGCUGGGCACUCUGGCGACACUGCCACCGUAAGGUGUGAGGAAGGUGGGGAUGACGUCAAAUCAGCACGGCCCUUACGUCCGGGGCUACACACGUGUUACAAUGGGUGGUACAGAGAGAUGGCGGCCCGCAAGGUCCGUCAAAUCACGAAAGCCAUCCUCAGUUCGGAUUGGGGUCUGCAACCCGACCCCAUGAAGCUGGAUUCGCUAGUA
rnacentral:rRNA from 1 species